CGUGUAGGCGGCUUGACAAGUCAGAUGUGAAAUCCCCGGGCUUAACUCGGGAAGUGCAUUUGAAACUGUCUGGCUAGAGUAAGGGAGAGGAAAGUGGAAUUCCCGGUGUAGAGGUGAAAUUCGUAGAUAUCAGGAGGAAUAUUGGUGGCGAAGGCGACUUUCUGGCCCUAUACUGACGCUGAGACGCGAAAGCGUGGGUAGCAAACAG
rnacentral:rRNA from 1 species